rnacentral:rRNA from 1 species
UCAGAUGCGAAAGCGUGGGGAGCAAACAGGAUUAGAUACCCUGGUAGUCCACGCCCUAAACGAUGUACACUAGUUGUUGCUAUACUAGAUAUGGCAGUAAUGCAGUUAACACUUUAAGUGUACCGCCUGGGGAGUACGGUCGCAAGAUUAAAACUCAAAGGAAUAGACGGGGACCCGCACAAGCGGUGGAGCAUGUGGUUUAAUUCGACGAUACGCGAAAAACCUUACCUGGCCUUGACAUAGUAGGAAUCUUUAAGAGAUUAGAGAGUGCUAGCUUGCUAGAACCUACAUACAGGUGCUGCACGGCUGUCGUCAGCUCGUGUCGUGAGAUGUUGGGUUAAGUCCCGCAACGAGCGCAACCCACGUGAUUAGUUGCUAACGGUUCGGCCGAGAACUCUAAUCAGACUGCCUUCGUAAGGAGGAGGAAGGUGUGGACGACGUCAAGUCAUCAUGGCCCUUACGGCCAGGGCUACACACGUGCUACAAUGGGAUAUACAAAGAGUCGCAAUACCGCGAGGUGGAGCAAAUCUAGAAAAUAUCUCCCAGUUCGGAUUGCUCUCUGCAACUCGAGAGCAUGAAGUUGGAAUCGCUAGUAAUCGUGGAUCAGCAUUGCCACGGUGAAUACGUUCCCGGGUCUUGUACUCACCGCCCGUCACACCAUGGGAGUUGAUUUCAUUCGAAGCGGGGAUGCUAAAGUAGCUACCUUCCACAAUGGGAUUAGCGACUGGGGUGAAGUCGUAACAAGGUAACC